rnacentral:lncRNA from 1 species
AAACAGCCCUGCUGGCAACCAGAACAUGGUAUUCCCAAACUGAAUACAAACAGCAUUCAAAUAAGGCCAUACUGUAAGCAUGUUUGCAACAGGACAAGGACAAACACAAUUAAAAAGUGAUUGAACCACUUGACUUUUACCUAACGUGGAUGAUGGUUGCUUUUUUAAUCAAUGAUAACAUCAGCCCUGUUUUAAUGGUUCUUCCUCUUAGAUAAAAUGUACAAGAUAAACACUUUCUGAAUUCCCUCUGCUUACAAGAAGAAUUCAAUUCAAAACCAGGCAUAUCUUUCUGAAUUUCUCCCAAGAAUUAUUCAGCAUAAGCCUGAAUUCUAUAAAAUGCUCCUCCCAAAUCUCUUUUUUGAGAUGUCGCCACAGUUGCCCUGGGAUGUAUUUUCCUUUUCUGCAGCAAGUUAAGUUAGCCUAACUUGUUGGACUAUGGGUAUAUGCUUAGUGGUCUCGAUCAGUAAUCUUAAUAACUCAUAGGAAGAGGGCACAUUCUCAAAAAUAAUGACAGCUACCAUACUUAUGAUGAUCUACAUGUAAAAUAUCUACAAUUACAGCAGCACAUAAGAAACGAUGCUAUAUGUUCUUAGUACUCUAUGUAAUUGAUAUGUCAUAAUGCAUGAUUAAUUGAACUCUUCUUUGAAAAAAACUCUACUCAGAUAGACUUUAAAUAUGCUUUCAUGUUUGCAAGCAUUUUUCCAAAUUAUUACUUCAUAAUGUUUCUUUCCUUGAGAAUUACAAAUGGAGUAAAUUCAUUUUCUCUUUCUCAAAACUGAGUAAAGUACAGAAGAUGGAAAAGUACCCAUCUCCUAGAUUCUCUGAUGAUAAACAUAAGUUAUUUAAAUUAUACAUAUAUAAAAUAACAUAAACUUAUGUUUAUCAUAAGCUAUUUAUGUUUAUAUAUAUAUAAAUUAACUUACUAGUAACUAAUAUUAAGAAAUUAGUUUAUGGGAGGUACUAUGGUCUAAAUGUCUACGUUCCCCCCAAAACACAUUUGGCAAACUAACCCCCAAGAUGAUAGUAUUAUAGGCACCUUUUGGAGGUGAUUAGGUCAUAAGCGUCUGCCUUCAAAACUGGGAUUUGCUCCCUUAUAAACGAGGCUUGUUCACCCCUUCCAUCACGUAAAGGCAUAGCUAGAAGGCACCAUCUUUGAAUCCGGGCAUGAGCUCUUAUCAGACACCAGCUCUACUGGCACCUUGAUCUUGGACUUCCCAGCCUCCAGAGCUGUGAGCAAUAAAUUAUUAUUGUUUACAAUAAAUUAUUGUUGUUUACAAAUAUCCUGGUCAAACAUAUUUUGUUAUAGCAGCAUGAGAAGACUUAACCAGGGUUUGAGGGCAUUCUCAAACAAUUCUUUAGUGGUAAUGAUAUCUGCAGUAGCCUGAAUGAAGAGUUACACAUCAAAUUUUUCCACAAAGAAAUAUAUAAAUGUGGAAAUUUCAAUUGUUAGGGCAUCAAAGGUUGAUAAAUAAUAUAUUUUUAAAUCUCUGUGAAUGGUAUUUGUUCCUAUUUUCAACCAAUAAAAAGACAAGUCUUUGUAUUUCUUUGCUAGAGGGCUUUAAUGUUGCAGUGCAAUAUGAACUAUUAUCAAGGCAAAAGGGCCGGUGGAAGGAAAAGGGAAUUGAUAUUUUGCAACCAGAGGUAAAUGUUCCUGAAAGACUUGAGACAAGAUAGAGCAUUCUGCAUCUAAGAAAUUGAUGCGUAUUCAGUAGAGCUUAAGCAUGGAUAGAGUGCUGGUGAAUAGUGAUGGGGGAAGCACUGUAAAGAUCAGCAGAAACUAACUCAUCCACAACGACCUCAGCAAGCAUCGUAAGAAGUUUGAACUUCAUCCUAACAGCAAAGGGAGGCACUGGAGAAUUCCUUGAGAGCCUUAGAUAGAGAAGCCCACAAAUGAAAUCGAGGAAGAGGAACGUGAGAUGCAAGAAUGAGAGCAGUUUUGGAAGCCAGAGGAGGAGUUUUUUAAGAAGAUGGUAUCAUUCAUAUUGCCAUUUUUUUCCGAGACUAAAAAAACUAAAGGCUGAACUGAAAGACACUGCUAAGACAGAUAGUACAGUUUCAAUAUAAUAUGACGCCAUCAAAACCCAGGAUGUUGUAAAAGAGAGUGUGACUGUAUUUACGUCAACGGAUGUCAGUGAGAGAACUUGAUCCAAACAUCGUAAUCGAACCAAGAGACGUAUUAGCAACGUUAAAUAAACUGUCAUUUUGUCUAGGCCUCCGGUAUAACUGGAAUCAGCAUCUUGAUGCCAGGGGGUACUGUAUUUAAUUCCUGACUUUUGUGUAUAUGUGUUAUUCUCUCUUGUGGGAUUUCUCUCAUGUCAGGAAAAAAUGGCUGCCAGUGGCCUUGACACCGGGAGAAACUUGGCGCGUGGUGUUCUGGGAAGCUUGCUCUCUUGCAUCUCAACCCCCUGCCUGGAGGAGUUCCUUCCGAGUAGUUGCUGCCCCUUCAGCCUGAGCCACAGAAUGAAUAUGUGAGAAGCAAACCUGAGCCCCACGUGCAGCAGAAUCUCAGGACAGCCAGACUUGCAGCUUGAAGCAGAUCUUCCCAGUUCUGCUCAACCUAAAGCAGCAACAAGCAGCCAAUCUGUGGUCCACAGAGAAUAAGCCUUGCUACAAAAAGCUCUUGUGUUUUAGGGUCAUCUGUUACCCCACCUUUUAUGAGACAAGAGGUAAAGGACACAGCUGGGGUUAUGUUUGUCCCUCUCUUCCAAAACUACGCUUUUAAUUAAGGAAAUGUAAUUUCAUUGAAAUGGGGAGGGAGGCUUAUCCAGGAUAAAGAACGGGUGCUGGAGAAGUAAAAAGGCAGAUGCUCAACUGUGUGACAGAGUGAGCAGAAUUGUCAAGAUGAGAGAAUAGUGUCAACAAGAAGUCUGGGUGUGAAAGUAGGAGAUAUUUUAAGGUAGUAGCUGCAGGGUGUUGUGAAGUUGAGGUUUGGUUUAGUUCUUCUUUUUUUUAUUUUUAAGCUGUUCUGUUUUUCUAUUUUAUAUAAAAGCUGAUAGGAUAGAAUGAAUGAAGCAGGAGUCUUUGAAAAGACCAGACUUGGAGAAUGCAAUUCAAAAGUGUAAGGUCUCCGAGAAUGUUAAAGGUGAUAUGGUACAGAGUGAAGUGGAGAGCUGCCUUAUGCCCUAGGGGAAGAUGCUUACCAAACCAGGAAGGAAGAAGGAAAAGGGUGCAGGGAGAAGUUCAUUGUGUAAUCCAAGGCAGUUAGACAUUUAUUUGAUGAUUUCAAGAUACUUCUAUGAUGUAAAUAGUAAGUGCAUCAGCUAGAAGUUAGGCUGUGAACUCAGAGCUAGAGAUAUAAAGAGAGGGAAGGAAAGUUGAAAUACUGCUGUGUAGACUGAAGGGUGAUAGGAAAACAGAAAUGAGGAAUACUCACACUGCCACACCCCUUAGAAUUUAUAAUAAAGCCAUUUAUAGAAUAUGGGAGAAAUUUUCACCUAUAGUGUAAUUCAACAAUUGAGAAACAAAGUGGAAGCAUCAUGUCAUUCUUAUUUGCUAAAGUUAUUGUAAUCCUGCCAUCAAGACAAGAGGCAGGAAAACACUUUCCCAGUGUUUGUCCCCAAACUGCAAAUCAUAAGCUCUUUCUCCUAACACAAACAAACAAAUAAAAUAAAGCAAAAGAAUGCAAAUAAGUAAGUAAUACCAGCCUGUCCUCCUUUACUGCUUUUUGAGGUAGCCCCAUUGCUGCUGACCUUGUUCCACCAGCACCUCUUCCUACAGUCCGUGGAGAUGGGAAAAAUCUUACACCAAAAUCCAAAGGAAACAAACAUGCAAGAUGUGUGAAAUAAUCAAUGCCACCAAACAAAGCAAAAAACCAAACGCAUCACUUCUGAGAAUGAUCAUAAGCUGGCUAAAUUCCCCUUUGAUGCUCAGAUUAAUUUGAGAUAUUAAACACAAAUAAACACUGCAUUGCAAAGACACAUGUAAAACAAAAUUUAGCAUGAAUUUUAAAACAAAAGUUGACAAUGAUGUGGCUGAAGAACACAUAAACAGUGCACAACUGGCAAAUGAGUUGCAGACAAAGAAGGAUGUAAGAAAAAGGCUUUGAUCAAGACAAAUAGGGUUAGCUGAAAUUGACAAAAUGUCCAAUCCACAGUGACUAAUCACUCAGGAAUGUUUAUGUAAUAAAUAGGAUGGCAACAAAAUGUAUAAACCAGAAUCCUGUUAGAAUAACAAUGAUAAACUAAGAGAAACACAACUGUUCUGGGACUUUGACAAGUUUCUUCCUGUUCUCAUUGGUCGAAUAGACCUCAAACUAAAUAAACUAGUGAUUUGAAUAAUAAAAUUAAUAAGGUAGAAACAAAACAUAUGUAGAACAUUUUACCUACACAAACAAUGAAAGAAUUAAAUAUUAAAUUAUAAGAGGAAAUCACAAAGGAAAAUAUUUACAAUAUUGAUAAAAAUAGAACAUGUUAAAAGAUAAAAUAUUCAAUUUUCUUUUUAUCUUUUGCAACAAUUUUGGCAAACAAAUAGCUGAUAAUCAUAGUGUAAACACCUAUGUUUGAAAUGCACAAGCAAAAUAUCUACUUCCCAAUUAAACUUUUAAAAAAUGCAACACAAAUGUUCAAUUUUCACCAAAGAUAAUAGCAAAAUAAGAUGUUCAGUGAAACUAAUAAUCAAAUAGAUGUACAUUAG